CCGCAGACGGCUUUGCGGCUCUUUUCCCCUCCUACUUGAUUUACGGUUCCUCCUCCGGUCUGUCUGUUUUUGCGGUCCGGCGCUGGGCGUGGGUUGGGACCUGCUUCCCACAGACCCUCGCACACCCUUCCCAUUCUCCUCUGCGCGGCUUCCAUCUAAGCGCUCUUCCCCUUGUCCGUAGCCUAGAUCGAGCUCCCUGCGUGCACCGCGCGCUGCCGGAGGCGCAGGUCAACCAGAGUCAAGAUGUCUGGGACUGAGGAAGCGGUUCUCCGAGGACGCGAAAGCCAUCCUGCUGCUGGCAGCGGCGCCGUGUUAUGCUUUGGACAGUGCCAGUACACAGCAGAAGAGUACCAGGCCAUCCAGAAGGCCCUGAGGCAGAGGCUGGGCCCAGAAUACAUAAGUAGCCGCAUGGCUGGAGGCGGCCAGAAGGUGUGUUACAUUGAGGGUCAUCGAGUAAUUAAUCUGGCCAAUGAGAUGUUUGGUUACAACGGCUGGGCACACUCCAUCACGCAGCAGAAUGUGGAUUUUGUUGACCUCAACAAUGGCAAGUUCUACGUGGGAGUCUGUGCAUUUGUGAGGGUCCAGUUGAAGGAUGGUUCAUAUCACGAAGACGUUGGUUAUGGUGUUAGUGAGGGCCUCAAGUCCAAGGCCUUAUCUCUGGAGAAGGCAAGGAAGGAGGCGGUGACAGAUGGGCUGAAGCGAGCCCUCAGGAGUUUUGGAAAUGCACUUGGAAACUGUGUUCUGGACAAAGACUACCUGAGGUCCCUCAACAAGCUUCCACGCCAGUUGCCUCUUGAAGUGGAUUUAAGUAAAGCGAAGAGACAAGAUUUUGAACCAUCUGUGGAAGAGGCAAGAUCUAACAGCUGCCGACCGAACAUGGCCCCGGGACACCCACAGCUACGGGAGGUGACCUCCCCUUCCAGACCAAGCCAUGCUGUGAUCCAGGGGGACAAGGACUGCAGCUCCCGGUAUGCGGCCCAAGUCCCCUUCCUUUCCUCUCGGCCCCUCCUGUGUCCUUGGGGCUGCCUCCACUGCCUCCUUCAGCGCCGGCCAGCCGCGUGCGUGCUCCCAGGAGCCAUGGCUGUUACUCAGGGGCUCCUCUCUCCGUUGGUCCUCUCAUGCAGAAGCCCGACUUCAUCCACCGUGGAGAGCGAGGCCACGUACCAGCGGAAGCUCCGGCAAAAGCAGCUGCAGCAGCAGUUCCGGGAGCGGAUGGAGAAACAGCACGUUCACGUCUCCACGCCGUCAAUUGAGAAGCGUGAGGCAGCGCCUCCGGCCCCUCCUCUGACGCACAGCACUCCUGUCACUGCCGUCGCAGAACCACUCCUGGAGAAAGACUUCCUGGCAGGAGUGACUCAAGAACUAAUCAGUAAAUACCUUGAAAUGCUUAGACUCUUGAAGACAACUCUGAAAAGUGGGCUGUGACUUCACAUGCAGGGGAUGGUGUGGUCAAGCCCUCGUCUAGAGCAGACCCAGCCCAGACUGCUGACACACUAGCCUCGAACCACCAGAUGGUGACCCAGAACGGGACUCCACACAGCCUUUGUCACCAGAAACCACAAGCAAAAUCUGGAUCUUGGGACCUCCAGACUUACAGCACUGACCAACGCCUAACAGGAAACUGGGAGUCUCAUAGGAAGAGCCAGGACAUGAAGAAAAGGAAAUACGAUCCAUCUUAACUGAGGCGCAGGCCACGUGAGUGGACUCUGUCACAAAGGGACUUUGGAAAACUGCUUUUUCGUCAUGAAAUCGUUCAUCUCUCCUGGAGAAUGAACUUGAUUGCAAUUUAGCUUGCUUCAUUCUGAACCUUACCAAGAGGAUCUGAGAGCGCACUGCAGUUAGAGCUGAGCACUUUUGGAAAGCUGGUCUGCCACUCUGGUAGGGAGAGGCUCGCGACAGAUGAAAUAGCUUUUCUGUGGCUUGUGAGGCUUCCCACUAUUUAUUACUAAACUAUUAUGUUAAUACAGAUGGACAUUUCAGGAAUCACCAAUGGCUCCCUGCCCUCAAGCAACAUAGGCCGGACCUGGCCCUAAGCACCUGCCUCAGCAAUUGCCUACAUUCAGCUGUUUUGCAUAACAUCUGCCUUCUUUCCUUUAGGGUCCACGCCUUUAACGCUGUCCACAUUACACACUGUCGAUCACGGCAGGAAAAAGGUUGGAGUAGUGCUUUUACUAGUUCGUAUCAAUCCAGGUUACAGUCGUCAUUUUAUAUAAACUCUAAUUUAUGGGAUUACGACGUUACAAUCCUGCAUUCUUUGAAGACUUCAAGACUGACAUUUUUUUCCUAAGGAAGGAAAUAAUCAUCUAAGACUAAGAAAAAAGGCUUUUUUGUUUGUUUGUUUUUGAGACAGAGUCUUGCUGUGUUACCCGGACUGGAGUUCAGUGGUGCAAACACAGCUCAACCUCCUGGGCUCAAGUGAUCCUCCCACCUCUGCCUUACAAAAUACAGGGAUUACUGGUGUGAGCCACUGUGGCCAGAAAAGGCAUUUUUGAGAAAGCAAAUCGUAUACCUUAUAACAAAAUAGAAUAUAUAUAUUGCAUAGCCCCUUACCUGAAACGCUUGAAACCAGAAUUGUGCAUUUUUUGAGUAUUUGUAUAUACGUAGUGAGACCCUGGGGAUGGGACUUCACCUGUGUUUCAUAUAUGUACCUCAUACACAUAAUUUUUUGCAUGAAACAACGCUUGUGUAUAAGAGAUACUGCAGCUGAAGGGGACUAGGUCUUUUUUUUCUCUUAGGGUCACUGAAUAAGCUUGUAUGCCUGGUGCUUUGCGACUUGUCACACGAGGUCAUGUGUGGAAUUUUCCACUUCUGGCAUCAUGUCAGUGCUCAGAUAUUUUCGGAUCUCGGAGCAUUUCAAUUAGGGGGAUACUCAAACACAACUGUUUCUACUUCCCCAUUUCAGAUGUGAGAUGUAACCCACUUUGACCAUAAAUUGGCUUUUCAUAGUGUUCCGAUGUUUCAUAAUUCUCCCCAAAUAAUGAAGUUUGCAAUUUUACUUUUUUUUUUUUUUCCCCAAAGGUGUCUGGCUCUGUAGCCCAGGCUGCAGUGCAGUGGCGUGAUCUUAGCUCAUUGCAACCUCCGCCUGCUGGGAUUCAGGUGAUUCUCCCGCCUUAGGCUCCCGCGUAGCUGGGAUUACAGGCACCCACCAAGACGCCCGGCUAAUUUUUGUAUUUCUGGUAGAGGAGACGGGGUUUCUCCAUGUUGACUAGGCUGGUCUCAAACUCCUGACCUCAAGUGAUCUGCCUGCCUUGGCCUCCCAAAGCGCCGGACUCACAGGCAUGUCACCGCAUCCAGCCACUUUUUAAGACUUAUUUUGGGGCUUGGCUGUGCCUAAUCUUGAAGCAGUGACUUGUUAUUUUUUGGCUCACAGACCCAUUUGGGAAGCUGUGGACCUGAGAUAAGGAAGUCUGAAAGUACUAGCCGGCAGCCGACCAUUUCUAUUCCUUUGGAAGAUGAAGAGGCAGCAAAAGAGCUCCCAGGAAUUAGGAAUCCAGUUAUAAAUUGCACUUAACUCAAAACAGUGCCAAUGUGAAUGUGAAGGAAUUUUCUGGAAAUGAAACCCCGCAGCUCAACAAAAGCAAGUUUGGUUUAUUUGAAUGGUUUCAUUAAAUAAGUCUACAAAGGUAACAAACUGAAGCACAAAGCGCAAUCUUACAAGAAGCGCAACACCCAGAGUUAGUGCAAAAUGUACAAUUAACGGCUGCUGAGAAACCCCCGAAGUUUGAGUUUUUAUUAUUUUUAAACAGUGUACAUUGUUAAAUAAUGUAAGGAAAACAUUUCUAAUUCAGAAAGUUUUUAAUGUGGAAAAAGAUACUCAAAGUGUACUAUUAACACAAAAAUAAUUUAAACAGUUCAGUAGCACUAGUUCAUUCCUCUAGGCUUCAGUUAUUUCAUCCACAGGAGGAUGAAAUCAACAGUAAAUAAACCAGUUCUGACUUUUUGUGCAUGAGUGAAAAGAUGUCAAAAUUAUUAAACCCAAAGAACAAAUGAGAAUGUGCCGCAUCAGGCUCCCUGCGCCUCUGUAUAAAGGAUGUUUCACUCUUAGGCGGCCCCUUUCUCAGCUACUCAGCCCCUGCUUGGUUCUAUCCUUACUCUCUCCACAAGAAAUAAUAUAAGCAGAGAAUAAAUAAGUCAAUCGUUUUACAGCAGGGGUUGAAGCCCCUGCCCCUUUUCCUUUCUACCUUUUAAAACCCUUCGGCUCUCAUUUGCAUAUUUAGGGCCAUAGACCAACUUAAUAAGGGAAGCAGGGCCCUUAAGGAAUGAACAGGGCACGGGAGCCUCCAGCCUCUUUCUGUGGUGGUGGUGGUGGUGGUGAUUUCCGGAAUAUGCCAUUGACGUGGGUAAAAGGUUGGAAAUAUUUUCAGUUUCCCAACUAAGAGUCAAUAAGCACCCCAACAUUAAGAGUCCUAGCUUCUUUGUCUGUCUUCAGAGAUAGCAAAGAUCCUAAACCUAGCCAAUUAGGACAGUAUUUCCGGAAAGCUCUGAAAAUAAUAACUACCCAUUACACGUAGGCAUAGCACUAAAUAACACUGAUUGGUUGCAGUUAUUACUUACGGGGAAUAUUUAUUUGAAAAUGUGAACAUAUUAGUUGUACUUCUAGAAAUAAAGGUGGCACAAUAGAUGAUGAUCCUGCAACCAUUUGGACAUCAUAAAGGAAAUGAGUAGGAAUAAGUAUUCUUUCCUACAAUGAGUAAUUCAGACGUGGAAAGAUUCAGAUGUGGAAAGAUUCACUUUCCACAAAAUAUAGUACCCCAAGCUGAGAAAUGCAUGGCACAUGUGCAACAAAGGAAAACAAUCCAAACAGUUUUUCUGAGAGCAACUUUCUCCAUCUGUGACUUUUCACUAUCAGGUUCCCCAACUUGAAAACUAGCCCCCACCCCCUUCUCUUUAUGUUCAAUUUCUUCUAGGUCACGUCUGCUCAAGCCUAGCUCAAGUAAGAAAGGUUUAUAUGACAGUCACUGGCCAGGCAUCACGUAUCUUCAAAACAAGUUUGUUUCCUCAUUCUUCAGUCUGUCUGUCACCCAGCACACACCAUUCUUUUCAGUUGCCCAAUUUUGUUACAACACCCCCUCCUCACUAUUCCUGAAACAGAACGUUCUGUUUUUAACCACUGAUGCCAACUUAACUUCCCACCCUACUCAUCUUACACCUGCUCUAGACAAAGUUGUUGAAGGACUUAAAAAAAUACUUGUUCAAUUUCCCUUUGGCAUAACCACUGCUGGACUGCUGGGGUCACAUGGACCUAAGAUUUCCUUCCACAUGCCCUGUAUUGAUCUGGGGUCUGAUAAGCUGAUGCUAAUGGCAGAAGCAAUAGAAGUCCAAGGCACUAAAAUGUCCAGCAAGCAACACUGGGAAACAGAAGUAUUCAAGUACAGUAAUUUAUACAAUUUUACAUUCACAUUUAUUCAUCUAAUACAAUGGAAAUACAAAGGAAAAAGUUAAAGUGUCUCAAUAAGUAAAGGACAGAGCUAGCUUUUUUUGGAACUUUUUAAACGUUUCAUAUUUUACUCUUAAAACUACUGUUGUCCAACAACAUUUUAUAUAUCACAGUGUUUCCACAUCAAAACUGAUGGCAAAGUUACAUGUCCGCAGGGAACUUAAUUUUUUUUUUUCCUAAUUGCUAAUGCUGCAGUCAAAGCUGCUAAUAUCUUUUGCUUAAAGCACUAAUGACCUAUCAUAAGAAAGAGUUGCACCCCAGUCCCCUGGUAUUUUUCACUGGGUUCUAAAGAGCAAA